CCGAGCCCAAGGUCUAGCGCGCGUCACUGCGAGCCAAGCUAACGGAAGGUGGAAAACACCGGUCUACAUUUUGGCCCAUAAAGAGGUUGCAAGAAAGCGUGGAAGACACGAUUACAGAGUGAGACCCUGGAAACCAUCCCAAAAACCGCGACCCGAGCGGCGGGCAGAGCGAGGCCCAGGCCAGGAGUCUUCAAGGCGACGAGCGCUCUGGACACCAAAUAAUUGUCGACAUCAAAGUCCCGAAGCUAUUCCCUGAUGUUGGCUUCUAGAAGCUCUUGCCCAUGUACAUCUGGAACAUGUACCUGGCGUGACUCAGUGAUCUAGUUCAUUUUUCAUCGUGACUUUAAUCAACCCAGCAUUAUUUACUAAGAAGUCCAUUCCUUCCCAGUGGCUUUCAAUGUUUCCUAUGUUACAAAACAGGGAACCGUAUCUGUGUGUGUUUCCUCUCUUGCCAGGAAGCCAGGCCCUGACGCAGGGAGGAUCGGGACCCUGCCUUCCUUGGUCCUCAAUUCCUUGUGCCCUCGAUGAAAGAAUUCAGUCACGACACCCAGCUGUGCAGAAGUCUCAUGGAAUCCACAGUAAUGCAGCAAUAGAGAGAGUUGUGCCUUCCGAGCACAAAGGUGGGCCAUGCUGCAAAGGCUUCUGCACCAAGCUCAAGUUUGGAUAUUUUUU
rnacentral:lncRNA from 1 species